AUUGAACGCUGGCGGCAGGCCUAACACAUGCAAGUCGAACGAGUGGCGGACGGGUGAGUAAUGUCUGGGACACUUCCUGAUGGAGGGGGAUAACUACUGGAAACUGAUGUUAAUACCGCAUACCAUCAGCUGUGCCCACAUGGGAUUAGCUAGUUGUUCGGGUAACUGCUCACCAAGGCGACUAUCUCUAGCUGGGCUGAGAGGAUGACCAUCAACACUGGAACUGAGACACGGUCCAGACUCCUACGGGAGGCAGCAGUGGGGAAUAGUGCACAAUGGGCGCAAGCCUGAUGCAGCCAUGCCGCGUGUAUGAAGAAGGCAUUCGGGUUGUAAAGUACUUUCAGCGGGGAGGCGUUACCAGAAGAAGAAGCACCGGCUAACUCCGUGCCAGCAGCCGCGGUAAUAC
rnacentral:rRNA from 1 species